GAUGAACGCUAGCGAUAGGCUUAACACAUGCAAGUCGAGGGGCAGCAUGGUCUUAGCUUGCUAAGACUGAUGGCGACCGGCGCACGGGUGCGUAACGCGUAUGCAACUUGCCUCACAGAGGGGGAUAACCCGUCGAAAGACGGACUAAUACCGCGUACACUUGGGAUAGGGCAUCCUGACCCAAGGAAAUGAAAUUCGCUGUGAGAUGGGCAUGCGUCCCAUUAGCUAGUUGGUGAGGUAACGGCUCACCAAGGCGACGAUGGGUAGGGGAACUGAGAGGUUGAACCCCCACACUGGUACUGAGACACGGACCAGACUCCUACGGGAGGCAGCAGUGAGGAAGAUUGGUCAAUGGGCGAGAGCCUGAACCAGCCAAGUCGCGUGAAGGAUGACUGUCUUAUGGAUUGUAAACUUCUUUUAUACGGGAAUAACAAGAGUCACGUGUGGCUCCCUGCAUGUACCGUAUGAAUAAGCAUCGGCUAACUCCGUG
rnacentral:rRNA from 1 species